CUUUUCUUGUUCAAAAACUUUCAGUUUGCUCAUAAAGAUUGUAUACAGGAAUGGUGUAACAAGAAAGGGAAUACAACCUGUGAAAUAUGUCUUCAUCACCCAACUCACAAGAGCAUAAGGUGUUAUUUGAGGUUUUGAGAGUUGUUGAAGAGACAGAGGUCUUCCUUGAUAAAUAAAAGGAUAUUCUUGUGAACAAGAUGCAAUUUCACUAAUUUUGCUAGAAAUAUCCGCUGCCUGAAGUGCAAAGCUGAGGGACCAAAGAAGUCAAGGGGAAGUGAUAUUGAAAUGAAGAAAGGUGAUUGGAAUCAUCCAAAGUGAGUU